UAAUAAUAAUUUACAAAUGAGAAAUCUGAUUAAGAUAACUCAGACUAUGCUUCUUGUCAAAAGUCCUAUACUUAAGGUUUUCUAUCUUUAAAUCUUAUGCUCCUGUCACCUUGCCAUUCUUUACAAUAUAAACUACUAGACAAUAGGUUACAACCAAUAUCUUUCUUGGUAAGGCUUUUUUUAAAAAAAUAGAUCAUUUACCUGUAUUUUUCUUUCUCAUUGCAAUAUUUGUCUUAACCACACUCUUACUUUACACAUUAUAUAGUCAUAUUUUGUGUAAUAGAUGUCCUUUUAUAAGAAUGUUUUCCGCUUUCUGUUGUUUAAUCAAAAAACAAUAAAGAAGUAUAAUACUCUUUCAGGAAAAUUCAAAUAUAUAUUCUAUAUUUAAAAAAUAUCAGUUCAAAAUUCGCAGUUGCUGGCUUCCAAUGUGAAAGUGGUAAAACAGACAUAUUCACCUUAUAAAAAAGGGAUUUCAAAGCCCUUAUACAUCAAAGUGAAUGAUGUAUAAACAAAAGUCUCCAUAAUUGUGAGGUGGAUAAGCUUGAAUAAACUAUGUUUUUUUCAGUGAUAAAACCAAAAGCGUUGACACAUUUGAACUCUGUCAUUCUUCACAAUGAUUCAUUAAGUAUAAUCUAACAAAUUUUCCAAGGUGAUCUUGAGCAUGAACAAAAGGCUAUGCUGUAUCAGGGAUAAAAGACAGCUAUUUCAGUUUUGUUUUGUUUUGCUGGAAUAGUCUUUGUUUGUAAAUGUUAUAGAGAAACAAAACCAUAAGUACUAUGUUUUUUUUUUCAAAGCUAUAGUAAAUAAUCCCAAAUUCUCCAUAUGCCGGUGUAAAACAGCUGUUGUAGGUAAUAGGGAUCAUUGACCAGAUUGUGAAAUUAUGGAACUGUUGAAGAAAAAGAAAGGGCAUAUUGUGCAAUGUAUUCCUCAAUUUUAUUGAUUAGUUUUCCCUCACUCUGUUAACUUUUCUUAUGAGAAUCUAAAUCUGAAACCUCAGGACCAAUUCCUUUCUUCUAGUCGCAGACUUUUGGUUUGCUGAUUGUAUGAGAAUAUUAUACAUUUUCUAUCAUUUAAUUAGAAAACAAUAAAAGAGUCUAUGUGCAAAUAUAUAUAUUCCAUAAUAGGAAAUACAUGUUUGUGUGCCCAAAGACUCACUAUCCUGCACAGAAAAAGUACAAAUUUUUAUUGCUUUAGCUGACAGCAUAAUGUGUCAUUCUCUUCAUGGCUCUACAUCUCAAAUUGGCAUGACUAUUUGUUUUAUGGAUGGAAGGGUGGGGGGAAGUCCUAGGUUAUUUGUGUGGAGACAAUGAUCUUUUCUGCCAGAUUUCCCUUGUCAAAAUUACAGUGAGAUCACAGUGUGUGUCAGAUUUCCCAUCAGAACUGGACAGGAAAGGCACAUGACUGUGGAAAGAUUAGAUAGCAACUUGACACAUCUGUGCUCACGAAGUGUCAAGUUGAGAGAAGCCACUAGGAAAAAAAAAUGUUGGUUGCCUCAACAAAACAGUCAAGCAAAGGGCAAAGAGGACAAAUCAGAGGGAAAAUAUGAUCAAUCAAAUACUCUUCCCUCAAACCAGGGAGGUUCUAAAAACAAGACACCAGCCUCCCCAGCCCUAAGUGUUCUAACUUAAGGGUGAUCUGAGAAGUCUGAGAGCCAGUGUAAAAACACACAGAUCAUGUUAGAUUUUCUCCUUUUCAGUAUAAAAUAAGGAUGUACUCAAAUGAGUUCUUUAUAACCAUAGCUGAAACUUGGUGAUGUGAAUAUGUCGGAAUUAUGGCAUGGCUGUUUUCCCCCUGCACUCAUAUGGUUCUUGAUGUUUCUGAGAACAGAGAUCUCUUAAUGACCUAUCCAGAAGUCACUGACCCAAGGCCACCUGCACAUCAAGGAAGAGCAUCUGACAGAGAAAGCCCAGCAAUGGUAGAGGUGGAGCAAACUCUCGACAUGGUAUCUUGGAUAACACCUGAUGAUAAUAACUGAGGAACUGAAAUUCUGCAGCCCUGGCUUGACUUCUUUUAUGCCUCAGGGAACUAAUAAAAUUCUCAGGAACAGAGGAAGUGGCAAAGUUUUAAAACAGUGGCAAUUCUUAACAAGAUGAUUUAAAUUACAUUCUUAACAUUAUUCAUCAUAGAGGAAAUUAUUUGCAAAGAAUGGGUACACUGACAUGACAGUCCCAAGCAGCUGCAGAAGGCAUGAUUGACAAUGUGUGCACGAGAUGAGAGCAGCACCAAUCUGUGUGGUGGGAGAUAUAAACUAAAGCAGAAAAAAACCCAACAGAAAACCAUUAAAAAUGACUCCUUCAGGCCUGAGCAAUAGCAAUGAACCUGAAACUUUUCUGCAAUUAGAGUGUGCAUUCCGAUAAAAAGAAAAGGAAUAGUUGAUGCAUCAGAGCAAUAAUGUUGAGGUCUUAAUAAAACGACUUUAUAAAUAUAUGAUUAAAUUUUGCAUUUGAAUACACCAACUCAACUGUAGUUACAGUCAUGAGUACUUUCAGAUGACGAGCCACCAGGAUUUUGACAGCACAUGUUCAACAGAAAAUGCCAAAGACAAGACUUGUAUUUUUAGGAUGAGAUGGAUAAAGGAGAUCAUCUGGGACAAGGCAGUACUUGGUUGAAGCCUGAAAACUACAUUUCCCAGACCCCUUUGCUGCAGAAGUUAAGUUUAAUUCAAACAAGGGGAUCAGUCAUGAGAGAUCUGAAUGGCAGAAAUAAAGUUGGUUUUUUUUUUCUCCCUCUGGCUGGCAGCAAGAGAUGCGAUGUUCUGCAGACUGUACACAUAAAGUUCGCAGCAUCUUUUGGGGAGAAGAACAUGUGUGAGAAACUGCCAUUGCUGUGGGCAAGAACUGGAGGAAGAACAAUCUAAGAGGGCUGGUCCCCAUUAGAAGGAGAGUCUGCAAUAAUCCAUGUUUUGAGGAUUAGAUCAUGCUCUGAGACUCACCUCCACCCUAGCGGUUUGUCAAUAAGCAAUAACAUGAGACUGAAAUAGAGGUCAUGGAACAGCCAAGCCUCCGCCAUGGUGGGUUCAUUAAAAUCAAUACCACAUUCAUUUGGGGAAGAAUACCAGAUCAUAAAGAAUGUUCACCCUUGUGAUCAGGGUUGACAUGGGGAAGGGAGCUGUUUAAUAGCAUUUCUCAUUUCUCUUCCUCUCUCGCUCUGGUUUUUAAUCUACUAUAUGUAAUAAAUAGGUCUUAUUCUUUUCUACUUACUAAGGUCAAGGAGUGGUGGAUUCUAUUGAACAAAAUGGAUUAGCUAAU